GCAGCAAGUCACAGGAGAAGCAUAUUACGUAACAUUGUUUUCCUUUUUUUCAGAGGCUCCUCAGCUUCCCAGAAGAGAAAUCCUGGCAAAGGGAAUUUCCCAGGAAGUGUGACUGUGAUAAAAGAGGUGUUCAAGAUGGAAUUUGGGCUCUGAUGCUGCACACUCUGUUCCCUUGAGAUCUUCCAAGAGAAUCUGUCAAUGACCUGAAAGGAGGAUAAUCUUGUCUGUCGUCUUCUCUCAAAAGUCCAAGAAAAAUGAGUGCAUCAGAUAAAGCUCAUGUCUUACAUGAUUGUUUUUGUGUCAAGUUUUGGAUACACCCAUGCCGUUUUUUGGAUAUUUUCAGCUGAGGAUUCAUUGUACUCCUGUUACUCUGUGCCCCUGGAAAGGACUGGAAGAAGAUUAUCUGCCUUUCACAGAAGAAAGCAUUACAAGUAUCAAAUGUGUGCUGUUCUCUUGGUGAUGUGAUUUGGCUGUUCAACCCUGACUGCGAGAUGCCUGCUCCUGUGGAUCAGGUCAUGCUUUGGACAACUUGAGAAUACCUGCACUUGCAGAAAUCUGAAUUAAAAG
ensembl:lncRNA